AUUGAACGCUGGCGGCAGGCUUAACACAUGCAAGUCGAACGGUAACAGGAAGCAGCUUGCUGCUUCGCUGACGAGUGGCGGACGGGUGAGUAAUGUCUGGGAAGCUGCCUGAUGGAGGGGGAUAACUACUGGAAACGGUAGCUAAUACCGCAUAAUGUCGCAAGACCAAAGAGGGGGACCUUCGGGCCUCUUGCCAUCGGAUGUGCCCAGAUGGGAUUAGCUUGUUGGUGGGGUAACGGCUCACCAAGGCGCCGAUCCCUAGCUGGUCUGAGAGGAUGACCAGCCACACUGGAACUGAGACACGGUCCAGACUCCUACGGGAGGCAGCAGUGGGGAAUAUUGCACAAUGGGCGCAAGCCUGAUGCAGCCAUGCCGCGUGUAUGAAGAAGGCCUUCGGGUUGUAAAGUACUUUCAGCGGGGAGGAAGGGAGUAAAGUUAAUACCUUUGCUCAUUGACGUUACCCGCAGAAGAAGCACCGGCUAACUCCGUG
rnacentral:rRNA from 1 species